GACGGAGGGUGCUAGCGUUGUUCGGAAUCACUGGGCGUAAAGGGCGCGCAGGCGGCCCCUCGCGUCGGACGUGAAAGCCCGGGGCUCAACCCCGGAACCGGCGUCCGGAUACGGGGGGGCUCGAGGGCCGGGAGAGGGGGGGUGGAAUACCCAGUGUAGGAGGUGAAAUUCGUAGAUAUUGGGUGGAACACCGGUGGCGAAAGCGGCCCCCUGGCCCGGUCCUGACGCUGAGGCGCGAAAGCGUGGGGAGCAAACAGG
rnacentral:rRNA from 1 species